CAGAACAUCACGGCAUUUGUUGUGGUAAAUAGUUCAGUGGCAAAGCGCCCGUUCCAUCUGCGGACCUCCAAAUGACCCUGAAUGCAGAGGUACAGAAAAGCUUUCCAUGCUCAUCCAGCCCAUCUCUGGUUACAUGAUAAGAAACGAGGCUGACACAGCAAUAUAAAUGUGACUACUCGCUAAGAAUGACCGCGGGUCAGGCCACAGGAUCCAGGGGAUACCCGGUAACAGAAGCUGUCAUAUUUAUCGCUGGCGUCUUCAGAGCCAGCUUGAGUAGCUGGAGACAGAGCACACAAAAGGACUAUUCAGUGCAGCCCAUGGUCUGAAAUGAAACAGAUGCGCUGUGGAAGUUUGCAAACUCCCCGGCACAGAAGGUUGGCAGAUCUGCGCUCUGUAACCAGGGCCCAUCUUCUUGGCAGAGCGCUCCGCACCCCGGUGCCAGUGGCACUGCUCCUGCUGUGCAGACGAAGGGCGGUCUGGAGGACAAAGCACUCAGCUUGGCAGUUAAAGGCAGGGAGAACUAAACCAAGGCUGAGAGCCCACUCGAGCUUUUAAGCCCUCCCACCAAUUUUGGAUGGCCCACAUUCAGCCCUCAGGACGCUACUCACAGAACUCAGAGUCACUCCAGGGAAGAGGCUGACUGAUCACGGCGGUGAUUCUAUGACAUCUGCAAUGCACAGCACUGCUGCUGCCUUUGAACACAACUUCAGCCUCGCCUCAGCGAUCCCUCCUUUGUGGUGGCAUUCCCUUCUCAUCCAGCUGCCAAAAGGAGAUCUGAAAUGAACAUCAUAAACAUUGAUUUUUUUUCCUGCUAAGCAUCCAAAACCAUAUCCGAGAUAAACAAACAAAGCAAAACACUUGGCCCGAACCAUAUCCUGGCUCCAAACAAAUCUGGAUAAGAAAUUUGUGGUUGAGAUCUGUUCAUAUUAAACCCAGUGAAGUAAAUAUAUCUCACAUGUGGCCAUUUCUGUGAUUCCAGAGACCCAAAGUAUUCUGUGGCUUGGUUAACAUCCUUUGCCAUCAUUCUGGAUGUGACUCGUGGGUAGGUCUGUGCCAUAGGGUCAGGGACACCCCGGUUGUGUCUGAGAGCACUAACCCAGACCCAGAGACACCAAGCAGCAUGGAGGAAGAUGUAGGUAUUACACGGGCAGUCUAAUUUCUGGAAUCAGAGCAUCUCUGUGACCCUGUGCCAGAACUAGCUUGGGAUCUAAUCUGCCCCAGGGACAUGCCCCUUAGGCCUGGGCACAUCUCACUUACCUUUAGGAACCUGCCUGAAGUGCCUCAGGUGAGAGACAUCCCCAAGGCACUCAUGCAAUCAACAGCCAGAGGUACCUUUGGAGAUGCCAAUCUCUCGCAUUAGCUACAACGCCUUAGGGCAGUUCAAGCCCAAUGAUCUAAGCCAGCCAGUGCCUCAGAUCCAGCUUUCCUUUGUGCUCUGCUAUCCUGGCAGUUGUUUGGCUCCUGCCCAGAAAUGGAGCACCUUGGGGAUCUCGCAUCACAGCCCAAGCUUUCCAAAUAGCAUUAUCUGCAAAGCCGUAAGGACGUAUGUGGAUCAUCAGUUCUCAUACAGAGCAUCUUUCCUUCCCAUCGAUUUUCCAUCACUGCUCUAACUUCCAGGAAACACAAGGGAUUUCCUGUGGCACGUGGGACUCGAUGGCAGGACACUGCUAAAGCCAAAGACGAUGAGAGGCUGCAGAGCUCCAAAUGUGCUGCACCUUGUGCUCGCAGCUUCCACCGAGUUCAACUUUUGCCUAAAAAGAACUAAUUAACACCGGACAGCCCCGCAGCAAUUCCUCAUCUGCUCUGGAGCAGAGGAGCCCAUCACUAUGGUGAUACAACAUUAAAGGGCUGGGUCCAAAAUGCUUUUCUGGCAGGAAGACGCACGCACCAGGCCAGAAUCGGGGAUGCCAGGCGAGCUGCUUGUAACUCUGGAGGAGAUGCUCCAGGCUUACCCCAGUGUCACUGAGAUUAGCCCUGGCCCGCGGCCUUUGAGGACAGCUCCAUCCCGGCAGGCAGAUGGCUCGCCUUCUAAUUUGGAGGGGCUGAAUGACUUUCCAAACCUUUGAUUCCUGACUGAUGUAUUCACUUCAGGAGACACAAAAGUACAAAAUCUCAGCAUGGAGUGACUCCCGUGCUUUCUUUUUCCUUCCCUCCCACCCCCCCCUCGCCUUGUCUUUUCUUUUCUUCUCUCCCUGGACAGUUUUAUAAUUUUGGCAUGCAGCCAGAAUGUCUGUCCUUAUUAGCUUGGGCAGGCUGUGAAACACCUGCAGCCCAUUAUAGGCGGGGAGAGGGGGGGGGGGGGGGGAAUGAAAAAAAGUCAACUGUCAUAGGUAAAGUAAUGACCAUUCAUUUCUUUGUUUUAACGCGCUAAAGGCACAUUCGAGAAGGGAAGGCAAAAAUGACGCAGCUUCCCCAUCGUGCCUACCAUUGACUGGACUCAACUGAAGACACUGGGUCAUAUUUUUAUCUGAUAAGCGGUUCCAAUAAGCAGUUAUACCUUCACACCAGUAAGGAUCCCAGUUUAUUCAAUGUGACAAGCGCCUGGUGCAUUUGAAUAGUGUCUUGUGCACCUUUUUUUAAUUUAUGUCUUUAUUAUGACCUAAAUAGGCAUUAGGAAGAAACUUCCCUCUGGGCAGGUUAUAACUAGACUGCCUACUGCCAUUUCCCUCUAAUAUCCCAGCUGCAAACACUGCCAGCUCUAGCUGAGCCUCCUUAACGGCAGCACAAAAGGGGUGUGGGAAGGGAUAGAUGUGGCCAAGUCCCACCGGCCACUGCCUCUACCAGAAGGGCUGCACAUCUGGAAGAGUGACCAGGGUCCAGACAGGGACAGUACCCAGUGUAUCACCACAGGCUUUGGAGGUAAACCUUUUAAUACAGAAAUUGCUUUCACAACUUAGGCACAGGGCAGCACUGGGGAGCCAGUCACAGGCACUAUUGACUCACCCAGCUCCCAGCCUGCAGCGCUUCACCUUACCCCAAACUCCUGCUAACUGACCCCAAAGACCUACUGGUUGUGGGUCUGCACUGCCCAUCGGAAGAAGAAAUGAGCCCUCUUCACAAUUACAAGGAUGUGUUGGUGCACAGGGAUGGCCAUUACUCUGCUCCUGGUUCCUGAUGCAGGAUCUGAGAUGCAGACAGCAAGGAGAUCAAAACAUCCUUCUGAAUCCCCAUUGUUUAGCAGUGCCACAAAAUAUAUAUAUACCUGUAUUGAAGGAAAGGGCACAAACAGACCUCCUGCUAUAGAUGUCGAACUAAAGGUGCAUGCAUCUUAACAGGGAUGCCAGAGAGAUAGGGGCUGGCGGGACAGCUAGAGGUCUAAAUAAUUUAUCACGCUCCUGAACUUUGACAACAAAGCACACAGUCUAAAUGCAGCUCCAAGAGUUUUGCUGCUGGCAGCAGACUCCCUCUCAAAGGACUAAAUGGUAUUUCAAUCCCAGCUGCCCAUUCAGUGAAAAUGCCACAGUCAUGAUGUUAAGAGACCCAAGGUUCCUUCCAAAACUUUGCUGUAUUUUAAUCAAACUUUCUUGCCUAGCUGCGAGGCAGUUGAGACAUUUACCCCAGCAGCUCGUGUUUUCAGCUCUGCAUCCAGUGGGGUGCAGCCGUAGGAAAAAAAGAUGGAGAUGAAGUCUUUGUCACCACAAGGGAUUCUGCCAAAUACUCCCAACUGCUGUCCUGGAGCAUGGAAACACAAUUCUGCUGUUGCACGCAGGUCUGACUAUUUGCAUUUUUAAUAAUUCAAGAGUUUAAUUAGUAUCAUGGCCUUAAUCAGAGGCUGAAAAUACAGCUGAAGUCAUCAGAGCUUAAUUAGUUUAAAAAAAAAAAAAAUACUGCACUCUGCAAACAUCCUUAACAUGAAGGUCUGUCCUGAGCUCGGUGACUCGGGGUUCAGAUGAACACAACCUGUUGCUUCUGGUUCCCUGGAUCAGUAUAGCUGAGAAUAACUCAAAAUCCCCGAACAAUACAAAAUCAAAUCAGGUGUCUGCCCUUUGUUCUUCCCACAGAUUGCCCUGUGGACUCAGGAAAAACUGAUCAGAUUGAAGAGAACCUCCGGGUUCGUCCUGCAAACUGCAUGUGAACUUCCCCUGAGCAGGAAAUACACACUCUUAGGAGAAGUACCAACAAGUAUCACUGGAUCCUCACUCACGUGGGCAGGACCACUGUCCUGAGAGCAGUAUGGCCACCAGAAUCAUUGCUCAGCAGUGGGACCACAGGAGCCACCCUGUGUGGGAGCUCACAGUGCUCCCUUGCAGCCCCAGAUGGGUGUCGAAGCACUGCAGGUCAGGUGCAAGGGAUGGAAGUGGUCUGCUGGGGAAUGACCACCAAUAUGGGGCUGAGGGAAUCUGAAGCCCUGGCAACAGCCAUCCAUUUACUCACCAGACAGAUUGAAAGCAUUGUACAGGACAUCCUGGAUGGACUUUUUCAAACAAUAUGCGGUUUAAUGGUGGGAUUCAUCACCACCCAAUGCUGCGGAGGCCAAAUAUAUAAACAAGUUCAAAAAUGGAUUAGCAAAACUCAUGGAAGAUAGGUCAAUCGUAGACAAUUAAAUAUGGUAGUCCGGAUGCAACUUCCAGUUCAGGAAGUUAGUCAGCCUAAUGCCUUUCCACCUCUGAUUUACUUGUAAAAAGGAAGCCUGAAAAAUUCUCCUGAUGCCAAAACUCUCCCUCGGCUCCAAGCAUUAACUACAAUCACAAUAUACUCUUUUUUAUUUGGCAGGGGGAGGGGAUUACAUUUUCGUUCAGUAAUGAUAUUACAACAUGCUAUUUAUCUCCCCCUGCAGCUCCUGGACCUCUGUGUAACCUCCCAUCUCCCUGUCCUCCUAGGAAUAUCACAAAUAAAUUAGUGAAGUCUACUGGAAGGUGAUAGCAAUCACAGAUACUGCUAAAUUCCAUUUAGCAAGGAAUAAGGAAUCCAAUCACUUAUGUACAUAGGAAAGGUCUGAGUGGAUCACACUGUUAAAACAUUCUGUCCUUCAGAGUACCGGACCAGAGGAAGGUGCUGGAAAGCCAGGAUGGAAAAAAUACGAGCUGGUUUGUCCCCAAGGAAAGUUCUUUGUAACCUCAGGACAGUUAGCACUUGAUUUAUUCCCUGACACAUGCGGGCACAGAGGCUAAUUUUAUACAUAUACACUAAAUACACACAGAGUACAUCGCACACUGUGCUGCUGUGUAUCCCCAUCCCCUUUGGACCCUGUUAAACUCCCACAGGACCCAAAGAGCAGCUGACAGCACAGGUUAUCUGCUCCCUGUCCAGCUGCCCUCCUACCUGCUGCGCUUCUACCCACUACCUCCUUUUUGAGGGUGUUUUGGGGUGUUGCUGGAGAGCAAAGGACAAGAUGACAAAUGAGCUAACACACAGCAACGGAAUGUAAGUGAGUCUCAGCUAUUUUUAAUUAAGAAGCGAUGACAGCUGACUAAAUUCCCUGACACUGCAGUUAAAGGCUCUCUGACCCAGACAUCAUUGGACACUCUCCUACGACCAAUAUAUAUGGGUCCCGACGGUGCUUCUAUUAUUGUCCCCGCCGUCUCGACAGAUGCAGGACUAACAAAAUCUAUGUCUAUUAUCAGCAUGCAAAUAGUGAGAUAAAAGUGUGAAUGCUUAUGAGCCAGAGGAGGCAGCAGGUGAGAGGAGGACAAUGAAGGUCAUUUUCAAGGGAGUGCUGAAAGUGCCAAUGUUUGGCUUUCAAUAAAUGUUCACAAGGUUUAGACAAAUUUAACUGUCAUUUUCAUUUUCGGUUGGUUAAACCAAUGAUGGAUUGACCACGAGAGAGGCAGAGAGACAGAAAGAACAGUUCCUGCUGUAAGGCAGAUAAAAGAUAAGAGGUAAGGCAGCGUGAUCUGUGGACUGACUUCUCUCAGCCCACAGAUCACAGGGAGGGCUCCACAGAGAAAGCUUAUCUUCUCAUUCCCAGACCAAAGAACCCAGCAGCCCGGUAAGGGAAUCUGGAUUUGAAGGCCAGGGAUACACCUGACUUCAUACAAGGAUUCUUUAAAAGAGCUGAGAAUACAAGGUGUCCAGCUCCCACUACCACAACAGGCUGCCUAACCUGCAGUGCAACAAUACACCAUGAAGCCCAUGCUAGGCAAGGUGUCAGCUCUGCAUUGCUUUAGCUGCCUUGGAAAGAUGUCAAGACGAAGAUACCAACCACACAAAGACAAUACAAAACUCACUCACUUACUCAGGGCUUGCACGGGCAAUGAAUCCAGCAUGAGAUCACUUUACCUUGAGCUCACUAGUUGGUUUCAAUAGGACAGACAAAGAAAAGAUGCCCUUCUAUCCUCUCCAAAGGAUCAUGGAGAGAAGGGGUAAACUGGCAGACACGUCAAAGUCAAACAAAUCACGUACAAACUUGGCAUGAGCGAGACAAACACAUUAAGGAACAUCAUCAGGAACUUUCCAGUAUGGUUGCACAGUGGGAGGGGGAAAGAGAUGCUUUCUGCUGUUGCUAAGACAGUUCCCCCAGCCUUAUUCUCUCUACCAACCCAAUCGACGGGUGUUCUCCUCCCAUUGGCUCACCAGCUGCAUCGAAUGAUCAUGACAGGUUUUCGUCCUCCUCGCCCUAUUGGCUUCUGCCUAUGGCCUAUUAUCAGGGGAGAGCAAAUCAGACACGUAAUCAAUAGUUUGCGAGAAGGAACAGGGCUGCAUGAUGCUACAUUUGCAUGAAAUCUCUUGCUGCUAUGCCUCUGCAUUCAGAUAAGCACAGAUUAGCUGCAUCAGCCGCGCUUGCAGAGGUGAGCGUAGAUGGCAGACGGAUAGCAAAGCAGCACUGCAGUGAGCUGCCAAGGAAAGGCAGCACUGAACGCUCCAGUCCUGCUCUACAGAAGGUAAACCAGUGUGAAUCAAAGACCACCAGCAUCCUGCCCCAGCAUCAGUCUAGAUGUAUGCAGAAAACUUUUUUUGGUCGCCCACUGAACUACUAUUCCUGGCUUGGGUGCUCCUCAGGGCAAUGAGCUACAAGAAUAACAAAAAGGUGCAUAGCAGGGGAGAGAUCUUCCCUGUAGUGCCAUAAGUGAUGCCCUCUCCAGCAGGGAUGUAUGAAGAUGCUUUGUUUGAAGGCCUCCAGAAGCAUUCUGGGGUAGGCAGAGAGCAUGGAAGCACUCCACAAGGCCGCAGACAGCUUUCCUGGCCAGAUACAGGAUGGUGUGUGACAAGUCAGCCUCCAUAGCCACGCUCCUUGGUCACCACAAGGCCUGCAGGGACAUGGGAACAGUGGUUUCUUCAUCUUGCAGCCACAAAAACCCAUUAUUAGGCAGAAGAGCACAGCAGUAGUGGGAUAGUUUCCAGUCCCACCACAGCCCAGGUCAAGGCCUGGAACAAGAAGUGGCAGAUGAGUUGCAAUCGGUUUCCAACUAUAAGUAACGCUGCCUUGAACCAACAGCACACGUAUGAAACACCCGUGUAAAACAACCAGAUGUUGCCAAUGGCUUUCAAAUCAACCACAAAAUAAAACUCCUUCUUAAGGAUGGGAACCUCAGACACCAGGGGAUCAAGUGCACCACCAAGUCAAGCGCAGUUAACUAGUGAACCAGCCCCAGCCUUAAAGCUUUAAAUUCCCUGACGAAAUAUCCCCAGGCAUGUUUGGACAACAGGGAACAGCAGCCCUUCGGCUAUUUUCCUUUGCCACACAGGUGACUCAGUAUCCGGACUACAGAAGAAAAACUGGUGUUUCCUUUUCUGUCCAGGACCACAAGUGACUGGCAGCAGAAGGAGCUCAGUCCAGCUUCCAGCCUGCUCCUAACGGAGGAACACACAACUAAAAGAGGCCGAGGAACCCAGCAAACCCAUCCACUGCAGUUGGACAUGUGCACAUUCAAUGUACAUACACAGUCCAUGUACUUUCUUCCCUUAACAAUAAGCAGGUUCAUUUAGGAAGAGUUAUAACUUAGACUGUUAUAGCACAACUACGAGGCAAGACAGGAAAAUAUUCUCUGGAAAUUUCCACUGCCAACCUAUUUUUUUUUUCUGGAGGAGCAGUUGGACAAAAUACAGUGGAUCAGUUAAAAAAAAUUCUAAGUUUUUGACCUGAAUUCAUUCAUAUUUCUCACAUCGGUGGGGAUGGUUUCUUCAACAUAAGGUGGACUUUGAAGUUAGAAGGCAGAAAGAGAAAAGAGCCCAUCUAAUAAUUAGGUUCAAACCCCUACUUGAUCUCACCCUGUAAGGACCUUGAAUUAGGUCUACAGUUACCUAUCUGGCUUCAAGUAUUUUGGGAUCUCUCUCCAGCUGAUAUGGUCUAAGUUGCAUCCUAAGGCAGAACAGGAAGAAUGCUCUGAGUUCUCAAAAACGUUCAUGACUUUGGACAAAUACAUUAUAUUCAGCUUCAAAACAACUCCGUUCUCUUUUUGAUCUUAUGUAAUAGUCUAGAUGUCUGUGUUUUGAUUCCUCCCAAUUGUGCACUCAAACUGGUACAGAGCUCCAUGAAAGAAAAUUAAUGGACUGGAAGGAAACGUACACUUUUUUCUCUCUCUAAACCAUGUGCCUCUUUCCAGAGAAGAAAAGCAUGAAAUUUAGCAACAACUGAGCUGAUAAAACAAACUCAAAUAAGAACUCCUAUCAUAAGCUAAGUCUGCUUCAGCCACUCAAGAAGAUGGUACCAAUGAAUGAAGCCUUGUAGAUCAAUAAAAACCUCUUAAAUAAAACGAGAGCUCUUUCAGACUAAUUCAAGAAGCAUCCUACAAUGAAAAAAGAUUCUGUCCCUGAUGGCCUGGGAUCAGACUUCUUUUCUCCAUACUCUUAGUGCCUACACAACGGCAUUUAUCUGGACCAAUUAGAUUCUUACCAGGAACGUGUAGGAAAUACUCCACGCAAAGGUGAAGCUGCUAUGUUACAACCUAUGUUGCUCUGACUAUUAUGGUGAUCAGUUCACUUUUGAUUGAGCACUUCAUCACCAAAAUAGGAAGGGGUUCUCCCUUACCUGGGAAUGAAUUCAGUCCUGAAUGGCCUUGUUGGUGAGUUUGCAGCAAGAAGGCAAAAAAGGAUGGAUGCGCACUUCUUCGUCUCCACCUCGCAGCAGGCACAACCUAGGAUAACAACAAUGAGAAACAUAUAGAUAUAAGCCCAAUGGAUGAUCAGGCAGCAAACAUAGGGACGGGAAGGAAAUAAAACCUCUGAGCCUUUCUCGGGGAUACAGAGUGCUCAGACACCUUCUGCUAUCUGUUCAUCCCACAGCAAUACCGAGACAUUCCGUACAGCCCCAACGGCCGUACGCAGCAGUGCAGGCAAAGGAAACAAAGCUGGAGCUCAAGCAGGGGAACACUGGUGUUCACAGGUCUGCUUCCACACCCCAGCCCUGCUCAUGAUAUAUCUGUCUCUAGCUCAGAGCUUGGACCUCAGGGCUUUCAGGCUGCCAUUUACCAGCAGUCCUGGUGGAGAAGGAGGAGUCAAGAAACCCGAGAGCCAUUUCUGAGCCAAAAGGUUUUGUUCAGAUUCAUUUUCAACUUUUCAUUUUGAAAUGUUUUCGUAAUUCCCAGCAUCUCUCCUUUCAGAUCUGCCUCACUUUAAAAAAUGCUGGAAUGUCACUGCUCUUCUAAUUGUUGUUCCAUAGAGAUAACUGUUUUCUGUAUGCAUUUCAGAAUUGUUACAAGAAACAAUCCAAGAAUAUAGCCAUCCUUUCUUAGUACACUGUAUAACUGUUCAUGAAGGGUUUCAACUUGUCUUGAUCUGCUUCUGGUUUGUUUCCCAGCUUCAUCUCAUUAGUACAAUAUCUGAAGGAGUUCAUAUUAUUAAUAAAGCCAAACCACAGGAAUACAUCUCGUAACUGCUCUAUUUCUCUGAUGCCGAAGGCUAGUAAAAGGUCUCCAAACUUCAAUUUCAUCUUUUAAUAGCUCUAUGCAAGGUAACUCAACGUUACUAGUCCCAUUUUGCUAUUAAACAGAGGCACGGAAGAGUGAUAAGAACAGUCCCAGGCCAUAAAACAAGUAGAAAAAGACAACCAAACCCUGAGUCCUGAUCCACAGCCUCCUGCUCCGUCCCAGAGGACAACAUUCUUUCCUAUGACUACUAAAAAUAUUGGGGUCUCCUGUGAAACAGACGGCAGUGCUAAUUUUUGAGGUGAAACGAGCUACCCAGCAUGGGAAACCAUGGAAGAGAAUAUAAUACUCUCAACUUCCUGAACUAUUGUACAAUAAACAGCUUCAGAGCUGGUUUUCCACAGAGACACCUGUAUUUUAGGAACAGAUAAGAAACGACACGUGCAUAUACGUGGUCACACCUUCUUUUUUCCUAGCUGCAUACACAUACAUAGCCAACAUGCACAAAAAUAAAAUACAUGUGUGUAUAUUAAAUAUGCAUCCAUCCGUAUCAAAGUCACCACAACCAGAAGGAGCUUUGAAGUUUGACUCAGCACGGCCUGAAAAAAAUGCACAGAAGCACAAGAGCCAGCAAAUCCUGAGCUCAGACCCAAGAUGUGACUCACCAGGUCGUCGGGAGCAACUCAAUACUUUCACUGCCUUGGUUUCCCCAGCUGUAAAACAGAGCUAAUUACACCACAGCGCAGCUGUGGGAAUGAGCUGCCUGCUCUGUGCACAGUGCUUCAGGCACAGAAAAUGCAAAGACCUGCUUGAAUGAGAGUCUGAAGCCAAGGCACUUCCUUCAAGAUGCCUCUCCCCAGCAGCCACGCAUUGCACCUGCCCAUAAAACGCCCAAGCUUCCCAUUUGUCCAUUGGUCACAACUUUAUGCCCUUCCCUCAACAUGUGCCACCCCACAGCCCUCUCCCAACGUCACCACCUGGCUACCUCUCCAUAUAUUUCUAUAACUCUUCAGAAGUGCUACAUAAGCCAGGAGUGCCUUUGGUACCAAUGCCAGUGGCUCUCAUGAAUGCCGACUCUUAAAACAGAGAGAAUAAGCAAACUAACCUUGUUAGUUUCCAGGCUCAUUUGUUUAGGAUGACAGAUUGACAAACAUGGUCUCUUCCACCUUUUUCUUUUUACAAACAGCUUUUUAUAUCUCAUACCCCAAAAUAAGCCCUGACCCAGCUGCGCUGCCAUGUUAAACAGUAAUUACUCUAUAUAAGGCUGACCGAAUGGGAAUAUUUGUGGGACAGUGGAAUGGAAUUAUUUUAGGACUUACACAAACUCUCUCUGGGAGUGGCAAGGCUGGCUGUGGGUAAUGUGGUGUACCUAAGAAACAAGUGGACACAGGAAGGUUUUUUCUUCUUCUUCCAGGCCUCCAUUAAAACACACAAUAGCUGACAUUAAACCACUUUCCCAAACUUCUACUCAGGUAAAAAGAUAAAACUAAAAAAAAUGUAUUAAAAAUACAUAUUAAUGUUUCAUCCUGGCUAUGUUAAGGAUGCACUCACCAUCUUUUGGCCACAUCUGGGCCCACUGGAUACUUGUUACUCACAGAGGAUGAGCCCAUCAAUACAUCAACCCCUUCCCCUCUCAAGUACUCAGAGCAUCAUUUCCAAGGACCUCAUUUGAAGCAGGUGAGAGCUUGCAAACAGAACUGCUCUCACCUGGGGCACGGCCUGCCUUGUAGGAGGGUGGGGAUCUCUGCGGGGAAUCCUAGAGGAGGCUGACAGAGCUUACAGAGUGGCAAUGCUCAGUUCAAAAAACCUGCAGAAAUUAGUGGCAUGCCAUUCUGGUGCAAGUGGCAGUUUUCCAGUUUCCAAAAUAUCCCUCCUCCUUAUGUCACGGUAAAAAAGUGUAAAAACAGAAAGUGGUUUAGCAAGUAGGAACAUUGCAAUUCAAAAUAGCAUCAGAGAGGAUUAGAGCAAAUACCCAGACUGUUCUAACGUGUGUUUACGGCCCAAAUACUGUACCAAUUCCUGUUAUUUUCAGGGCUUUCUUCCUGUGUUGUAACAUUCUCUCUGGGAUUAAACUUGGCCCAUACAACAUGUGACUCAUCUGACUGCAAGUCCUUGGGCAUGUGCUGCAGGUUUGGUUGCUGCUCAUUGCUGACGACCCAUCCUACAACCUCAGAGCCCAAUGCAACACAUUACACUGGGACUUUUGCUGAAGGGGUAGGAAGAAAAUGACAGCAUCUGCCUAACGCUAAAUUUUCACGCUUAAUUAAGGACUUGAAAAAUAAGUCAGUUUUCUGAGCAGGAUGGUGGGUGAAAAAUAAAAGAAAGUGAGUUUUUAAUGAUUUCAGAGAAACACGAGCCCAUUCUCUCGUCACCGUGCACCCUUGCAGCCAGGAAUUUCAUGUUAGAAAUUCGUUGCUAUGGAACUCAUGUUAUCUGCAGCAUGGAGCACUGCUGAUGGCCAAGCUAAUCCCAGGUGGCACUCCUCUGCCUUCACUGAUGUAAAACAGAUUCACUGCUUUCAGGUUUGCCUUUCAUUCUACCUGACUUCCUGCGUUCCAGAAGGUAACUCCUUUUUCUGCUCCUGUCUCUGAUUAGUUCCUUGUGUUACCUCUACACGAUGAGAGUAUUCAAUACUGAACCCAACCUGCUGGUCUUCAUUCUCCUUCUGUAACCUGCACAAGCACCAGCACCCCACCAAAACUCCCUUCUGACACAGUAUUGCCUUCAGAGUUAGUGUGAAACUCACAGGUGAGCUCAAUUUUAGCUGUAAUGAGGCACAAGAUGUAGCAGGAGCUAACUGAAAGAAUAAGAAUUCAAAGAAUAGAAACAGGGAAAAAAAUCAACUGUGCAGAAGUAAUGGAUUUGUGAGCCUAGCAACAGGCUACGAGGUCUUCUAGCUCUUAAUUAUCACUUCAAAUCAUAAUUAUCAAAGGUCUUCCAAUAGAAAGAAAAAAAAAAAGAUAAUCACUUCCACUGACUGAAUGCUGAAUAUCUCACCUGGAAGCAGAUAAGCAGAUCCCCCCCGAGGUUGUUUGCCAGUGGGAAGGAGCAACCAUGAACUGGGAAAGCAGCUUCUGUUGUCUGGUUCAGAGAAGGGACUUCACCAGUACUGGCAGACCCUGAAAGAGAAGGAAAUUCUUGCUCAGUGGUGGAAUUAGAAGCGAUGGGAGGCCAUGAUGAGAGGAAGUACUGCACACCAAGUUGGGAGGAAGCAUUGGACACCAUGUUAGGAGGAAGCACUGGACGUGCCUGGGGGAAGGAAGGCCUGGUGUAGGGAUGCAGACAGGCUGCAUGGUUGGGCUGAGGCCAGCUGUAGGAGGUUCAACAAGACCAAGUGCCAACUUUUAGAUUCACCCUCCUAACGCUGACGGUGCUGACUGAGUGCAGCUCCGUGCUCACACUUCUCCUUUCAUUGUGACCAGACUGAUGUGCGUGUCACUCUCAAUCUCUUAUAUUCCACAGCCCUCCUUUAAAAACAAUCAAACGAUCACAACGUAGGAAUUAGAGACGCUUAAACAGAAUUAUGGAAAGUAAACACACAUACCUUCUGUGCCGCUGGGUUGCUGUAAAACACUGCUUUAUUUCUUCUCUCUCAGCCAACAUUCACCUACAUGGGACAAAAAAAAUUUAAAUUCAAAUGUUACAUCUGGUUGCUUACCAACACAAGGUUUGUUUACAAACGAAAACGUCUUUGGCGCAGUUUGACCCAAAGCCAAGUGAAGUUCGAAGAUUUGGAAACAGAACCAUUAGCAGACUUCAGCUCACACUGCACUACAAAUGUGGCUCAGCUUAAGAAUCCAUUGCAACUACAAACUGCUCUCCCUGUUCUGUUAUUGUUCUCCUGCUAUAUCCAAACAGAAUUUCCCUUGUUGCAGCUAUGAUCUUAAUUAAUGCCCUUAGUACUGAGGUACUAAUUAAAUAAAAGCACUGUUACAUACACUAGGUAAAGCAAGGCAUGCUGGUACAAACUGCCCAGCAUCAAAUAUUAGGGACAGAGCUGCAAAUACAACAUCAGGGCCCAAAUUCCCCAUCUUCUGUCACCUUUUAGACCAAACAGCCUCUGAUGAAGUGCCAGAGAGGAAAAUACGAGCAGAACCUCUGCUUAGGCUUCUUCUUUCUAGCUGUAGCAGAGCUCCAUGCAGGGAAGGAGUGCAAUCACACGGGGCCAGAUGUUCAGCACAUCAAAAUCCAUCAACUCCAGCGCCUUCAGUGAAGCUAUGCCAAUUUACAUCAGUUGAUGGUGUGACCUAUAUUACGAAAACUUGCUUGAAGCAGCUAAGGAAUAUAACCCUGAUUUAUUCCAAAUACAUUAUAUUUAGCGCCGUCACUUCUCUCUUUCAUGCCAACAUGCAAGCACAGGAGACAGACACAUUUGGAUCCUCUCAGCUGGGAAUCGUGUUCUUGCAACACUCCUAGAUGAUGCACAUACUGUCUCUAUUUGUGUUCACCCUUUCAGAUGGCAUGCUGCCCACAAAAGAAGCUGAUUAGCGCU
ensembl:lncRNA